GGAUACCUCCUAUAGCUAUACAUGCAAGUCGAGCGGAUUGGAAGGAAGCUUGGUUGCUAAAGUCAGCGGCGGAAGGGUUGAGUAAACGUGGGCUAUUUGCGCGUAAGAAUCGGGAUAGCUUCGGGAGGCCGGAGCUAAUAUGGAUAUGAGUAUUGUUUUACAUGAGAGAUUAUGGAAAGAGGGUUUUCGGCUGUCACUUAGGGAUGGGCCCGCGGCGCAUUAGCUAGUUUGGUGAGGUAACGGCUCACCAAGGCGACGAUGCGUAGCUUACCUGAGAGGGUGAUCGGCCACACUGGGGACUGAGACACGGCCCAGACUCCUACGGGAACCAGGAAGCGGGAGCGGAAGACGCCGCGCCAUGGGCUGGAAGGCUGAGCGACCAACGUUUUCUGAGUUGGUAAAGCUUCUGUUCGUCUGGAAAAUUCCUGAUGAUAGGGGAAAAAAAGUAACAUAUUGUAACUUUUGUGACCGAAACUAUACCGUACCACACCGCCAAGGGCUAACUGACGUGCCCAGCCAGCCGCGGUAAUACCGUUAGGUGGGCAAGGCGUCGUCCAGGUAUUUAUUGGGGUCGUAAAGGCGCGACGGCAGGGCGGUCCUUUUGGAAGUUCUGAUGUGCAAGACCCAACGGCUCCAACCCGUGGAAGGGUCAUUGGAAACCUGGGAGACCUUGAGUGCAGAAGAUGGAGAGUGGAAUUCCACGUGUAGACGGUGAAAGGCGUAAAGAUGUGGAGGAACACCCAGUGGCGAAGGCGACUCUCUGGUCUGUAACUGACGCUGAGGCGCGGAAGCGUGGGGGAGCGGACAGGAUUAGAUAUCCCUGGUAGUCCACGCCGUAAACGAUGAGUGCUGAGUGUUAAAGGGUUUCCGCCCUUUAGUGCUGCAGCUUACGCAUUAAGCACUCCGCCUUGGGGAGUACCGGCCGCAAAGCUGAAACUCAAAGGAAGUGACGGGGGGCCCGCCCACACGGUGGAGCAUGUGUGUUAAUGCGUAGCAACGCGCAGAACCUUACCAGCCUUGGACAUACUCUGACACUCCUACAGAUAGGACGUUCCCCUUCGGGGGAGAGAGAGACAGGCGGGGGAUGGAUGUCGUCAUCUCUCGUCUUGCAGAAGUUGUGUUAAUUACCGCCACAACGGCAGCACCCCUUAACUUAAUUUGCCACCAUCAAUUGGGGCCCCUUAAGGGAACUGCCGGUGACAAACCGGAGGAAGGUGGGGAUGACGUCAAAUCAUCAUGCCCCUUAUGACCUGGGCUACACACGUGCUACAAUGGAUGGUACAAAGGGCAGCAAAGCCGCGAGGCCGAGCCAAUCCCAUAAAGCCAUUCUCAGUUCGGAUUGCAGGCUGCAACUCGCCUGCAUGAAGCCGGAAUCGCUAGUAAUCGCGGAUCAGCAUGCCGCGGUGAAUACGUUCCCGGGCCUUGUACACACCGCCCGUCACACCACGAGAGUUUGUAACACCCGAAGUCGGUGGGGUAACCUUUUGGAGCCAGCCGCCUAAGGUGGGACAGAUGAUUGGGGCGAAGUCGAACAAUGCAGACGCC
rnacentral:rRNA from 1 species